rnacentral:lncRNA from 1 species
GGCAACCAAACUCCCAUUGACAAUUAUGUCCCUAGACAUCCUCAAAGCCUUUGAUUGCUUGGAGUGGAAAUACAUAUUAGCAGUACUAACUAACAUGAAAUUUGGCCCCAACUUCCUACAAAUCCUCAAACAAAUAUACUCCCAAGCCUCAGCAAAAUGCAGAACUAACAAUAUGGAUUCUAACACUAUAGCUAUCCAAAGAGGCACGAAACAAGGAUGCCCACUGUCUCCCUUCUUAUUUAUCCUGGCUCUGGAACCCCUAGCAAUCCGCAUCCGAGCAGCCACAGACAUCAAGGGAGUGGAAAUAAAAGGCAGAACCUAUAAAUUAGGGCUCUUUGCAGAUGACCUAAUGGUCACAACACCAGACCCCAUAAGCACAGCAACCUCCCUAAUCAGAGAACUCAACACAUUUGCAAUGGUGUCGGGCCUACAGGUAAAUUUUACAAAGUCAGAAGCUAUGUGCUUCAACACCCCUCCUCACACCCAAAAAGAACUCACGAAGGUCACCAAAAUAAAACUUUGCCACACCAAGUUCAGAUACCUAGGGGUACAAAUAACCAGAAACCUCAAUAAAUUGUACCUCCACAACUACAAGCCCCUGUGGCGACAAAUUAACAAAGACCUAAAGAGAUGGAAUAACAUGAACUUCACUCUCUCAGACAAAAUAGCCAUGAUCAAAAUGAUCACACUCCCAAAACUAACCUACCUAUUCCAAACCCUCCCAAUCUGGAUCCCCUCAACCCAACUUCGCAGUUGGCAGAGAAAACUACACUCUUUCAUCUUCUCACAUAAAAAACCAAGAAUAAGCCCCAAAUACCUGCACCUCCCCACCUCAGAAGGAGGAUGGGGAAUCCCCAACAUAGAAGCAUAUUACAAUGCCAACCAAAUACGCCACAUAAUCCCAUAUAUACUAGAAGAUGAGACAAAACAAUGGGUACACCUAGAGAGGGACACAAUUGAAAACACCUGCACCACAACAUACCCACUCCUCCCAAACAAACUAAAGAAAAUUCCCACAACACUUAACAGGUACACACAGACCAUGCUCAAAGCAUGGAAAACACAAAUAGGCAAACUAUCCCCAACCCCAUCCCCACUAAUCCCCUGGCGUACCACCCAUUAUUCCACCGUGCAGCACAAAACCUCAAGAUAAAAACCUGGCGAACCAAAGGCUUAUAUCGCCUAAUAGACUUUUAUAAAAAUAACAAACCCUUGUCAACACAAGAAAUACAAGACAAACUAGAAGACACCCAAAUGCCCUGGUUAACACAACACCAACUUCAUGCCCUCUUAAACAACCCAACAGUAAAAUCAGCAGCAACUAGGCCCCUGACAACCUUCGAAAACCUCCUCCUAACAACAAAGGGAAACGGUAAAGGGACGGUAUCCGCAAUAUACAAAAUACUACUCCAAAAUCCUGUAAAUCCCCUAGACGCAAUC